rnacentral:lncRNA from 1 species
GGAAAGACACCUGCAGGACUGCCAGUGUGUGUGUCUCUCUCAAGUAGCAGGGUGUCCACGGUUUUGAAAUUCCGUAGUAAAACUGAUUGUCACACAAGCACAAACACAGACCAGCUUCCCAUCUAGUUUGUAAAUAAUACGUGGCAUGUAAAAUCUCCUUUCCUUCCAACUCGGCAUUCUAUGAUUUAUAGAAAGCAAGGCCCCUUCUUCAAAAACAGCAUCUCAUUUUCUGAAAUACUGGAAUGUUCCAAGGCAAAUAAAUCAUAUUAUUGCCGGAGCAAAAGAAACCACAGCCCCAAAUCCUAAUAGACCGGGUGUUAUAAGAUGUAACUUGGCUUCACUUUGAAUGGAAAGAAUCCUGGACUAACGUGAUGUGAUAAAGUUUUGAAGAUUUGGGGAUAGAAUUUCCUUUGGAUUUAAGGAAUUUGGGUAAUUCGUUCAAUGAUGAUCCUAAUUAGGAACAAUUGGUUCCAUGUUUUGAACAGAAUAUUGGACAAAACGUUGGAUAUGGUGUGAUGAUCUUCCUACAGCUUUGUUGUGUUCAAGAGGGUGGGACCGACUUAAAGAGAAGAUGAAAAAACAUCGUGAAAGAAUUCAAGUGUCUGGAAUUAGAGCCACGGGGGAGCCCUCACAGUACGCAGGGCACACCUCCACACUGCCCGAAUUCCUCCUCUUUCGUAACACAGGAUUCUAUUACUGGCUGCGUGAAUGGGUGGGCUGCUUUGGGAAGUUCGUCCCGUGACAGAGGAGAGGGAGACACCCACUAACCUGAGAGAUCAGCUGGAUCAGCCCUGGAUAUCAACAGUCGGCAGACCCCCAGCUGGAUCACCCACACGUCACAGAGCCAGCCGCGUCUCAGUAAGACGGAUAGCUACUCUCGUCACAGAAGCUUGCAUAAAAAUAGUUUUAAAAGACCAUCUUCCAAGUAAUGUAAUAGAACCAGUAUGA